rnacentral:rRNA from 1 species
UCAGAGCGAACGCUGGCGGUAGGCCUAACACAUGCAAGUCGAACGGCAGCACAGAGGAGCUUGCUCCUUGGGUGGCGAGUGGCGGACGGGUGAGGAAUACAUCGGAAUCUACUUUUUCGUGGGGGAUAACGUAGGGAAACUUACGCUAAUACCGUAUACGACCUACGGGUGAAAGCAGGGGAUCUUCGGACCUUGCGCGAUUGAAUGAGCCGAUGUCGGAUUAGCUAGUUGGCGGGUAAAGGCCCACCAAGGCGACGAUCCGUAGCUGGUCUGAGAGGAUGAUCAGCCACACUGGAACUGAGACACGGUCCAGACUCCUACGGGAGGCAGCAGUGGGGAAUAUUGGACAAUGGGCGCAAGCCUGAUCCAGCCCAUACCGCGUGGGUGAAGAAGGCCUUCGGGUUGUAAAGCCCUUUUGUUGGGAAAGAAAUCCAGCCGGCUAAUACCUGGUUGGGAUGACGGUACCCAAAGAAUAAGCACCGGCUAACUUCGUGCCAGCCGCCGC